rnacentral:rRNA from 1 species
CCCUUAGAUGUUCUGGGCUGCACGCGCGCUACACUGAUGCGCUCAACGAGUUUUAACCUUGCCUGGAAAGGUUGGGUAAUCUUUUUAAAACGCAUCGUGAUGGGGAUAGAUUAUUGCAAUUAUUAAUCUUCAACGAGGAAUUCCUAGUAAGCGCGAGUCAUCAGCUCGUGCUGAUUACGUCCCUGCCCUUUGUACACACCGCCCGUCGCACCUACCGAUUGAAUGGUCCGGUGAAAUCUCCGGACUGGCGUGAGUCGGAGCAAUCUGACAAACACCGGAAAGUUGAUUAAACCUUACCAUUUAGAGGAAGGUGAAGUCGUAACA